CAAAUCCUUUAAGGUUAAUUGUUAUAUUUUUCUCUUAGGUCAUCAUGUUUCUUCUUUCAGCACCUACCAGAAGUGCAAUGUUAUAUUCCAUGUGCAUUAUGACUGGAUUAAUGUCUUCUCUGACAUCUAGUCAACAUUAGGAUGGUAAAUACUAUAUUUCUAAUGGUUACCCUUAGAGAUAGCACAUUGUCUGCAACAUAGGAGGGAAACAAUAAAUAUUUGUUGAAUGAACAAAAUGCAAAUGAGAAAAUUGGAGAGGCUUCACAUAUAAGAAUUGGAAAAAACUACUUUAAAGAUCAUAUGGAGCCAAAAAAGAGCCCACAUUGCCGAGCCAAUCCUAAGCCAAAAGAACAAAGCUGGAGGCGUCGUGCUACCUGACUUCAAACUGUACUACAAGGCUACAGUAACCAAAACAGCAUGGUACUGGUACCAAAACAGACAUAUAGACCAAUGGAACAGAACAGAGCCCUCAGAAAUAAUGCCACACAUCUACAAUUAUCUGAUCUUUGACAAACCUGACAAAAACAAGAAAUGAGGAAAGGAUUCCCUAUUUAAUACAUGGUGCUGGGAAAACUACCUAGCCAUAUGAAGAAAGCUGAAACUGGAUCCCUUCCUUACACCUUAUACAACAAUUAAUUCAAGAUGGAUUAAAGACUUAAAUGUUAGACAUAAAACCAUAAAAACCCUGGAAGAAAACCUAGGCAAUACCAUUCGGGACAUAGG
rnacentral:lncRNA from 10 species